rnacentral:lncRNA from 1 species
AGAACCAGUCCGACCAGCUUGGCGCUGGGACGCCUCCCCGCGCUGUGCCGCGGCCCGGGGUGCCGAGGAGCUGGGCUGGGGGCGGGGACCCCUGCCGGGAACCCGACUUAGCCCGGAGACGCUCAAGAGCAAGAAGCCGAGCGGAAAAGUUAGCGCAGGUUGUGGAAAUCAUAUGAGUUCCCUGCUAGUGACAUUGGAGUGCACAGAUGAAUAUCGACAAGGCUCCAGGGAGUUCUGAACAGAGGCCAAGGCAGGCCCUGGAGCUGUAUGCUGCUUACAGGAAAAGAGAAAGAGGGGACCCCAAUAGUCUAGGUCCCUGGAUCCUCUGACCCGGGGCCUGACACUGUCAGGGAAGCUGCUGUCUCCCUAGGGACCUACUGAAUGUUCUUCCCAUGGCUGGUCAGUGCUGACACCUCAACACAGGAAGAGAAAUACUCCUAUGAAGUCAUCUGAAGCCUGGUCAUGCCAGGGACACUUCACGAAGGCAGGAACAGUCCUGUUUCUAAAAGCCCAAAAUCUAACAGCCUCUCUACAGAUAUAAAAGCCCAAAGACAUG